CGGCGGACGGGUGAGUAACACGUGGGUAACCUGCCUGCUAAGACUGGGAUAACUCCGGGAAACCGGAGCUAAUACCGGAUAGUUCCUUGAACCGCAUGGUUCAAGGAUGAAAGACGGUUUCGGCUGUCACUUACAGAUGGACCCGCGGCGCAUUAGCUAGUUGGUGAGGUAACGGCUCACCAAGGCGACGAUGCGUAGCCGACCUGAGAGGGUGAUCGGCCACACUGGGACUGAAACACCGCCCCAAACUCCUACGGGAGGCAGCAGUAGGGAAUCUUCCGCAAUGGACGAAAGUCUGACGGAGCAACGCCGCGUGAGUGAUGAAGGUUUUCGGAUCGUAAAGCUCUGUUGUUAGGGAAGAACAAGUGCAAGAGUAACUGCUUGCACCUUGACGGUACCUAACCAGAAAGCCACGGCUAACUACGUGCCAGCAGCCGCGGUAAUACGUAGGUGGCAAUCGUUGUCCA
rnacentral:rRNA from 1 species